ACGAGUUAGGGUCUUCUAGGCCCGACCUCCUAACCCUAUGUUUACUGAACCUUUGUUGCUUCGGCGGGCCCGUCUCACGACCGCCGGGGGACCGUCAGACGUCCUCUGGCCUGUGUUCGCCGGUGGCCAAAUUUAAUAUUCUGAUUAAAAUAUGUUCUGUCUGAGUACAAUUUUUAAUUAAAGCA
rnacentral:misc_RNA from 1 species